ensembl:lncRNA
UUUCUCCCUUCCAGUGUGUCUUGGGGUACCAGCCGGUUCUGGCUCCUUGGCAUCAGAGUCAGACCGAGGCUCCUGCGGUGGAUGACUGGUUCCGGUGCAUGGAGGAAACAUGGGACGCCGCCCAUGUCCACCUUCAGUGUGCCGUACUCAGUGUGCCGUACUGCGCCAGAAAAGGGGCGCAGACCGUCACCGCAGUGAGGCCCCGGUGUUCGCACCAGGGGACAGGGUCUGACCCGAAACCUGCCCCUCCGCCUGCCCUGUCGGAAGAUGGGUCCGCGGUUUGUGGGGGCCAUUUAAAGUCCUGGGGAGAGUGAACAAGCUGUGCAGCGACGCUCCCCAUCCAUCCUGACAGAGCUUGAGAGGAUCUGCAGAGAAGAAUGGGAGAAACUCCCAAAUACAGGUGUGCCAAGCUUGUAGCAUGAUACCCAAAAAUACUUGAGGCUGUAAUCGCUGCCAAAGGUGCUUCAACAAAGUACUGAGUAAAGGGUCUGAAUGCUUAUGUAAUUUUUUAAAACAUUUGCUAACAUUUCUAAACUUUUUUUUGCUUUGUCGUUAUGGGGUAUUGUGUGUAGAAUGAUGAGGGGGAAAAACAAUUGAAUCCAUGUUAGAAUAAGGUUUUAAUUUAACAAAUGUGGAAAAAGUCAAGGGGUCUGAAUUUUUUCAGAAUGCAGUGUAAGAAUGUUUUUAAAUGGGGAAAAAAUAAACAUGAAUAGCUAUUUAUAUUAUUAUAUUUAAUUGUUAUUUGCUAUUUGUCUAUAUUGCAUGUGUUUUAUGCAUAAGGGCAGUGAAAAGUACCAAUAUUUAUGUAUAGUUGCAUGUUUUCAUAAGCGUAAAUUGGGUCCCAGGCUGAAAAGGUUUAAGAACCCCUGAUUUAGAGAUGACAUAACAACCAUUCAAUGAUGUUGUUCAUGCCUCCGCGAUACAGCUAUUUUUUUAUUUUUUUAUUUUUUAAAUAGAAGAAACAUUUUGUUGCUACGGCAACCAAUUAUUUCACAGAGACUAUUUCAGAGCACUCUCGUCUGUGUGCCAAAGUGCAGAAUAAAUUAUGAAUUUACAAAUGCUCAACACCUGUUGAAUAUAGCCGGUGUCAGUAAACGUUGGCAAAAAAAAGCGUAAUUAAAUUGUUGCCAGCACGGUUACAGUCACCAACGCUCUAGAUAACAUGAAAACUGCCUAACCA